rnacentral:rRNA from 1 species
CCUACGGGAGGCAGCAGUAGGGAAUAUUGGGCAAUGGGCGAAAGCCUGACCCAGCGACGCCGCGUGAGGGAUGAAGGUCUUCGGAUUGUAAACCUCUUUCAGUAGGGAAGAAGCGAAAGUGACGGUACCUAAAGAAGAAGCACCGGCUAACUAUGUGCCAGCAGCCGCGGUAAUACAUAGGGUGCAAGCGUUGUCCGGAAUUAUUGGGCGUAAAGAGCUCGUAGGUCGUUUGUCGCGUCGAUUGUGAAAAUCUGAGGCUCAACCUCAGACCUGCAGUCGAUACGGGCAAACUAGAGUGCGGUAGGGGAGACUGGAAUUCCUGGUGUAGCGGUGGAAUGCGCAGAUAUCAGGAGGAACACCAAUGGCGAAGGCAGGUCUCUGGGCCAUAACUGACACUGAGGAGCGAAAGUGCGGGGAGCGAACAGGAUUAGAUACCCUGGUAGUCCGCACCGUAAACGGUGGGCACUAGUUGUGGGAACCUUCCACGGUUUCCGCGACGCAGCAAACGCAUUAAGUGCCCCGCCUGGGGAGUACGAUCGCAAGAUUAAAACUCAAAGGAAUUGACGG